AACGAACGCUGGCGGCAUGCCUAACACAUGCAAGUCGAACGAGACCUUCGGGUCUAGUGGCGCCCGGGUGCGUAACGCGUGGGAACCUGCCCUUAGGUUCGGAAUAACUCCCCGAAAGGGGUGCUAAUACCGGAUAAUGUCUUCGGACCAAAGAUUUAUCGCCUUUGGAUGUGCCCGCGUUGGAUUAGCUAGUUGGUAGGGUAAAAGCCUACCAAGGCGACGAUCCAUAGCUGGUCUGAGAGGAUGAUCAGCCACACUGGGACUGAGACACGGCCCAGACUCCUACGGGAGGCAGCAGUGGGGAAUAGUGGACAAUGGGCGAAAGCCUGAUCCAGCAAUGCCGCGUGAGUGAUGAAGGCCUUAGGGUUGUAAAGCUCUUUUACCCGGGAUGAUAAUGACAGUACCGGGAGAAUAAGCUCCGGCUAACUCCGUG
rnacentral:rRNA from 1 species